CAGCUGAAGGCCUGUGGAGCUCUGGAGAAGGGAAUAAUUCGCCAGCUGGAGAGAUGGGUGGAGAGGGACUGGAGCUGCCAGAGUCUUGCUGCCCAUGGCGGAGGCAAGAAAUCCAAUUAGAUGACUUACCGAACAAAAAAAACCCCUGAAAGAUCCCCCUCUUCGCCGCGGAGGUCUGCCGUGGAUGGGAAGCGUUCGUGGCAAGGUGAAGAUGAAGCGCGAUGUUUGACGUGAGUUUUAAUGAAACCACAGCAUGUUUCCUCCUCUCAGUUCGCCGCAAAAUGCGUCUGAACUGACAAGGCACGGCGGUGUGUGCUGGUGCAGCUUUGCUUCUCCCCGUUCGCUGACUGACCCGCGCCUCUUUAUUGCGCAGAGCGAAGCUCCGACUGGCGCGUCACUCAGCCAACCCACAUCCAAUACAAGCCGUUGGAGAUACAUAAAGAUUACGCAGACCAGAGCUGCGCUGUUCUGUGAGGCACUCGACGUGAGCCACAACUCACAAGGCUUGCGUAAGCAGCUAAGACCAUUUCUAUACUUACCAAAAGUGUUUCACGGUUGGCCAACUUCACUGACCAACGCACAGCGCCCUGACCACAACCCAUUAAAACAUUUGGAAUGGACAGUACUAAAAAUAAUGAAACAGACACUCGUCUCCAACGACUACGACAUCACAAAUAGAUGAUAAAAACCUACAAACUGGGGUCAUUUUAUUAAGUUUGAAAAAAAUGCAAA